UCUCUCAAAACGCACACUCUCCGGCGAUUUCUCCAUCUCUCCGGCGAUUCCGGCCCUUCUCCACCUUUCUUCACCGGCGAAUCCUCUUCUCACCCUCAUAUCUCUUCCCCAAGCCCCAAAUCAUGUAAGAAUCAUCCCAAACCUUCCUUUAUAUCAAUUGUUUAGGGUUUUUGAAGUUAGAUCUCGGAUUUUAGGUUGUUUGAUUGAAAAUAUUAGGAUUGAAUGGAUAGUUUAGGAUAUAUAAGUUAAGAUUGUUGUUUGGAUUGUUGUUUUAGUUUUUUUUGGAACAUUUUUUGAUUUUAAAAAACGUUUUUUGAUUUUUAAAAACGUUUUUUGAUUUUUAAAAACGUUUUUUGAUAAUUUAAAACGUUUUUUUUUUAUUUUUAAAAACGUUUUUCAAGUUUCCAGUAAUGAAAUAUAUAUAUAAAACGUUUUUAAAAUUUUUUAAAAAUAUUUAACAACAUUUUUCUAUAUUUAUAAUUUUUUUAUAAUUUUGUAUACAUAUAUAUAUAUAAAUCAUGUAUAAUAAAAAUUUUAAAAUUUUUUAUAAUUUUUUAUAAGUUUCCACUAAUAAACUAUGUAUAAUAAAACGUUUUUAAAAAAAAAUAUAUAAAUAUUUAACAACAUUUUUCUUCAUUUAUAAAUUUUUAACAACAUUUUUCUAUAUUUAUAAAUUUUUUAUAAUUUUGUAUACAUAUAUAUACAUAUAAAUCAUGUAUGUAUAAUAAAAAAUUUUAAAAUUUUUUAUUAUUUUUUAUAAGUUUCUAGUAAUAAACUAUGUAUAAUAAAAGGUUUAAUAGUUUUUUUUAAAACGUUUAUAAAACCUUUUGUAAAUAUAUAAAUGAAAACAUUAAAAGGUUAAAUGUAUUAAUUUUUUUUUUUAGGGCCGAGGAUGAAGCCCGCCCCGCAGCCCGUCUUCGACGUAGUUCGGUGAGCAGUUCCCGUGCAUCGGGAUCGUCUCAUGACUCGGUUCCCGCAUAUAUUCCCGCUCCAGCUCCCGCUGCCCCUCACGCUGCCCCUCACGCUGCUGCUCAACAGGAUCCGGGGGUCAUGCCGGUUCAUCUAUUGGUUCAACAACCAGGUCGAGAGCAUCUCCCGUUUCUCCAACCCAACCCACGACGAGGCCAUAG
rnacentral:lncRNA from 1 species